rnacentral:rRNA from 1 species
CCUUUGUACACACCGCCCGUCGCUACUACCGAUUGAAUGGCUUAGUGAGGCCUCCGGAUCGGCGUCAGGGAGCCGGCAACGGCACCCAGUCGCUGAGAAGCUGGUCAAACUUGGUCAUUUAGAGG